rnacentral:lncRNA from 1 species
AUGCUUAACACCCCGGCCACCCUACAAACUAAGCUUGAUGCCCUCAAUCGCACACAAAUUAUCAAUGAACCUACCAGGUACAACCCCAAAUCAGUAAACACGGGCACCCUCAUAGAUGUCAUCCUAACUAAUUCGCCCUCCAAAUACACCUCUGCUGUUUUCAAUCAAGAUCUCAGCGAUCACUGCCUCAUUGCCUGCAUCCGUAAUGGGUCUGGGACCAAACGACCACCCCUCAUCACUGUCAAACGCUCCCUGAAACACUUCUCCGAGCAGGCCUUUCUAAUCGACCUGGCCGGGGUAUCCUGGAAUGACAUUGACCUCAUCCCGUCAGUAGAGGAUGCCUGGCUAUUCUUUAAAAGUGCCAUCCUCACCAUCUUAAAUAAGCAUCCCCCUCUAAAAAAAUGUAGAACUAGGAAUAGAUAUAGUCCUUGGUUCACGCCAGGCCUGUCUGCCCUUGACCAGCACAAAAACAUCCUGUGGCGUUCUGCAUUAGCAUUGAAUAGCCCCAGUGAUAUACAACUUUUCAGGGAAGUUAGGAACAAAUAUACACAGGCAGUUAGAAAAGCUAAGGCAAGCUUUUUCAAACAGAAAUUUGCAUCCUGUAGUACUAACUCAAAAAAGUUUUGGGACACUGUAAAGUCCAUGGAGAACAAGAGCACAUCCUCCCAGCUGCCCACUGCUCUGAGGCUAGGAAACACUGUCACCACCGAUAAAUCCACUAUAAUUGAGAAUUUCAAUAAGCAUUUCUCUACGGCUGGCCAAGUUUUCGACAUGGCUACCCCUACCCCGGUCAACUGCCCGGCACCCUCCACAGCAACCCGCCAAAGCCCCCACCAUUUCUCCUUUACCCAAAUCCAGAUAGCCGAUGUUCUGAAAGAGCUGCAAAAUCUGGACCCCUACAAAUCAGCCGGACUAGACAAUCUGGACCCUUUCUUUCUAAAAUUAUCUGCCGAAAUUGUUGCAACCCCUAUUACUGGGCUGUUCAACCUCUCUUUCGUAUCGUCUGAGAUUCCCAAAGAUUGGAAAGCUGCCGCGGUCAUCCCCCUCUUCAAAGGGGGUGACACUAGACCCAAACUGCUACAGACCUAUAUCUAUCCUACCCUGUCUUUCUAA